AUGUUGUCUGUCGCGGUAUCCACUGAAGCAGUGGCUUCGUCCAGAACCAGUAUCUUGGUCCGUUUCAGAAUCACUCUUCCAAGACAGACUAGCUGGCGCUGGCCCACGCUCCAGUUCUCUCCGUUCUCGAUCACUGCAAGGCAAAAUAACAUGAUUUUUCAGUUCAAAAAAGCAGCAGCACGUGUUAUAGUUUUCAAAUCUUGGAAGAGAAGAGAUGAUACUGGGAAAUGUGUGAACGAUGAGCAAAUUUAUUUUUUUAACAACAAAAGGCGCACGAAGCGCCAAACUUUCCAUUCAGCUCAGCUCAAUAGCGACAUACAGCAUGGAUUACAAAGCAAAUUAAGUUUCAGACUUUCAACUGCAUGA
rnacentral:rRNA from 1 species